rnacentral:rRNA from 1 species
UACGUAGGGUGCAAGCGUUGUCCGGAUUCAUUGGGCGUAAAGAGCGUGUAGGCGGCCAGGUAGGUCGGUUGUGAAAACUGGAGGCUCAACCUUCAGAGGUCGACCCGAAACCAUCUGGCUAGAGUCCGGGAGAGGAGAGUGGAAUUCCUGGUGUAGCGGUGAAAUGCGUAGAUAUCGGAAGGAACGCCGGUGGCGAAAGCGGCGUGCUGGACCUCUUCUGACGCUGAGGCGCGAAAGCCAGGGAGCGAACGGG